AGUCUCAUGAGGAUUGGAAGCGGCUGGAGGAGGCAACCCUGCAAGGUACAGGCUCGCAGGAUUGUGGCGCGCAUCCAGAAGGCCAAUGUGGUCCCAGAAACCUCAGUUCUUGAAGCGGUCGGCAAGGGUGUGAAGAGGUGCUUCUGUAGCUGUCGACGAUGCUUGGAGGCAGCAAGGUAAACGUGUAGAGCCCUAACAGGGCAGAGUGUCAAAUCUUCAUUAUCAUCAGGUCCAAGAAUGAUGAGCAACGGGGGGAAUGGUAAACAACCGGUCCGGUUGCCCUGGCAGUUGGUUUUUCGCAAUGAAGUCCCAGCGGAGACCCAGGAAAGCCUUGCCAUGCUUCUUCCGCUCGAACCGCACCAGACUGACAUCAAGCGCAUGAAGUUCAGAUAUAUGAGCAGCGGUAGCCAAAGCUACCAUGAAGAAUGUCUUGAAUGUCACUUGUUUGCAGUUGUUGUCUUUUA